rnacentral:rRNA from 1 species
UACGUAGGGAGCGAGCGUUAUCCGGAUUUAUUGGGUGUAAAGCGUGUGUAGGCGGGAAAUUAAGUCUAAGGUCUAAGCCCGGAGCUCAACUCCGGUUCGCCUUAGAAACUGAUUUUCUUGAGUAUGGUAGAGGCAAAUGGAAUUUCUAGUGUAGCGGUAAAAUGCGUAGAUAUUAGAAGGAACACCAGUGGCGAAGGCGAUUUGCUGGGCCAUCACUGACGCUGAGACACGAAAGCGUGGGGAGCAAAUAGG